UUCACUUUUUUAACUUUAGUUAGUGUGUAAUGUUGCUGCUUAAGCAUAAACAGUAUCUGCAAAGUUACAGCGCUGAAAGUUAAAUGCAAACGGAGAUAUUGUCUUUUAAAGUUAUGACAGUUUAAUGCCUACAAAAACGACCGGUUUGGACUACAACGAGCUUCUUCCCAGGUUGGUGACAUCAUAAACCCUGCAAUUGAUAAACACUGCCCCCGGGAACACGCAAAAAAGUGGGCGAGGCCAUGUCGCGUGCAUACAAGUCUUCUUCCUAGGGACGCUGGACUUCGGGAACAAUGUUUAAAAUGUAUGUUUAAUUCUGUUCCUGACAAUUAUAAUGCUAAUUUAGCUUUCUGUGCUGCACAUUUUAUGGAAGACAGCUUCCAGAAUCUACAUGAGUUCAAUGCUGGAUUUGCACAAAGGCUAUUACUGAAAGAUGGAGCAGUUCCCACUUUAAAAGCAGAAGCUGCUGUUUAUGGGCCCCAACCUCAGCAGAGAGCGUCCCUUAUCUUCUGAGGCUGAGAAAACUAAAAUGCCUGACGUUGCGAGCCGUUCGUUCCCGCUCCUGCUCCAUUCAAAUCUUGCGCGCGCUGACAGGGUCCGGUAUUUUCAUCAUAGAGAGAUUUACAUCAUAAGAAGCAGACACUUUCUUCUGAACUGUCCUCAGAGGCUUCAAAUACAGCACUGAAGAAGAGCUGCAGCUGACUUGAUUCUUGCUGCGCUGAGAAGAAUCUGCUUGAAAUCACAGCAGAAUUAAUGACAUCGCUGUGAAAUCUUGUGAGAAGCG